rnacentral:rRNA from 1 species
GACGAACGCUGGCGGCGUGCUUAACACAUGCAAGUCGAACGGAAAGGCCCUGCAUCUGUGGGGUGCCCGAGUGGCGAACGGGUGAGUAACACGUGAGUAACCUGCCUUUGACUCUGGGAUAACUUCAGGAAACUGGGGCCAAUACCGGAUAGGAGCUCCUGCUGCAUGGCGGGGGUUGGAAAGUUUCGGCGGUUGGGGCUGGACUCGCGGCUUAUCAGCUUGUUGGUGGGGUAGUGGCUUACCACGGCUGUGACGGGUCGCCGGCCUGAGAGGGUGACCGGCCACAUUGGGACUGAGAUACGGCCCAGACUCCUACGGGAGGCAGCGGUGGGGAAUAUUGCACAAUGGGCGGAAGCCGGGUGCAGCAACGCCGCGUGCGGGAUGACGGCCUUCGGGUUGUAAACCGCUUUCGCCUAUGACGAAGCGUGAGUGACGGUAAUGGGUAAAAAAGCACCGGCUAACUACGUG